AUUGAACGCUGGCGGCAGGCUUAACACAUGCAAGUCGAGCGGAGAUGAGGUGCUUGCACCUUAUCUUAGCGGCGGACGGGUGAGUAAUGCUUAGGAAUCUGCCUAUUAGUGGGGGACAACAUUCCGAAAGGAAUGCUAAUACCGCAUACGCCCUACGGGGGAAAGCAGGGGGUCUUCGGACCUUGCGCUAAUAGAUGAGCAUAAGUCGGAUUAGCUAGUUGGUGGGGUAAAGGCCUACCAAGGCGACGAUCUGUAGCGGGUCUGAGAGGAUGAUCCGCCACACUGGGACUGAGACACGGCCCAGACUCCUACGGGAGGCAGCAGUGGGGAAUAUUGGACAAUGGGCGGAAGCCUGAUCCAGCCAUGCCGCGUGUGUGAAGAAGGCCUUUUGGUUGUAAAGCACUUUAAGCGAGGAGGAGGCUACCUGGAUUAAUACUCUAGGAUAGUGGACGUUACUCGCAGAAUAAGCACCGGCUAACUCUGUGCCAGCCGCCGCCGUAAUAC
rnacentral:rRNA from 1 species